rnacentral:rRNA from 1 species
UACGUAGGUGGCAAGCGUUGUCCGGAAUUACUGGGCGUAAAGAGCGCGUAGGCGGGAAUUUAAGUCAGGAGUGAAAACUGAGGGCUCAACCCUCAGCCUGCUCUUGAAACUGGAUUUCUUGAGGGUAUGAGAGGAAAGCGGAAUUCCCAGUGUAGCGGUGAAAUGCGUAGAUAUUGGGAGGAACACCAGUGGCGAAGGCGGCUUUCUGGCAUACAACUGACGCUGAGGCGCGAAAGCGUGGGGAGCAAACGGG